GAUGAACGCUGGCGGCGUGCCUAAUACAUGCAAGUCGAGCGAACGGACGAGUAGCUUGCUUCUCUGAUGUUAGCGGCGGACGGGCGAGUAACACGUGGAUAACCUACCUAUAAGACUGGGAUAACUUCGGGAAACCGGAGCUAAUACCGGAUGAUAUUUUGAACCGCAUGGUUCAAAAGUGAAAGACGGGCUUGCUGUCACUUAUAGACGGAUCCGCGCCGCAUUAGCUAGUUGGUAAGGUAACGGCUUACCAAGGCAAAGAUGCGUAGCCGAACUGAGAGGGUGAUCGGCCACACUGGAACUGGGACUCGGUCAAGACUCCUACGGGAGGCAGCAGUAGGGGAUCUUACGAAAUGGGCGAAAGCCUGACGGAGUACCGCCGAGUGAGUGAUGAAGGUCUUCGGAUCGUAAGACUCAGUUAUUAGGGAAGAACAUAUGUGUAAGUAACUGUGCACGUAUUGACGGUAACUAAUCAGAAAGCCACGGCUAACUACGUG
rnacentral:rRNA from 1 species